UCCGGGAGUCCGGGAGGCAGAUAGAGUAGGCUAGGUGUUGAUAUAUUCAGACCGGACUCCCGCGGUGUUGCCAUUUUUACUUCAGCACGGCUAGUACUAGAGUCGGCUGUGGUAUUAUAUUUAUUGGCCGAGGCCACCGACAAGAUACUGUUAAAGACUGCCAUCCUUAUGGGAGGUUGCGGCGGCGAAAAAAUUCGACGUUUUCUUACGCCCUCUAGAAUAUAUUGCGGCCGCAGUAAGAAACAGAACCUGAAUCAGUGGGUUUACCGACGACGAGUAUCGGUGCCGAACUGUAUCAUGAGAUAUGAGAUGAUAUAUUAUCUGGUCGAUGCUAUUAUUAUCUUUUCGGUGAUUCGAGUUAAGUUCGUUUUACAAACCUUUCGGAGAUACUUUUCAAGACGUCAAAUAUUUUAAAGGAGUAAGUAGAAGCUGGAUAAGUGCAACAUCGCUAUCCUCUCCACUUGUGGAGAUCCCCCGAGGCGAACCGAGACGCUCGACCAGGAAGCCGUGUAAUAUGAUCUGAACCGUAAUAUCGGUGUGACUAAUACUAAUUCAACGAUAAAACUUUUCUAUUUUUAACUUUUUCUUAAUGAAAUUUUUACUAACGCAUUGGUGAGAUUUUUCUGAUUAAAAUGAUACCAAACACGAUAUAGUUUGAAUUAUAUUUAUUUAUUUAUUCAGAAUAUGCUGCGAUAAUGCCAUGAAUUAUCGGUAAUGAACAAGAGCCGUUAUUCCAUGUAUGAUUGUGAGUCGAGCAACACACGGUGCGAUUGAUAGCAAAAAUUGUAAAAGUAACUAAGUCGCGGUAUUUUCAGUGUUAGAUUUGUAUUCCACGAAAAAAUAAAUAUCUAAAAUUACCACAAUA